rnacentral:rRNA from 1 species
GAAUUCGAUUAACGCGAAGAACCUUACCCAGGCUCGAACGGUGAUGGACAUCCGGCGAAAGCCGGCUCCCGCAAGGGUCAUCAUCGAGGUGCUGCAUGGCUGUCGUCAGCUCGUGUCGUGAGAUGUUGGGUUAAGUCCCGCAACGAGCGCAACCCUCGUCCGCUGUUGCCAUCAGGUUAAGCUGGGCACUCUGCGGAGACUGCCGGUGAUAAACCGGAGGAAGGUGGGGAUGACGUCAAGUCAGCAUGGCCUUUAUGUCUGGGGCUACACACGUGCUACAAUGGCCGGUACAAACCGUCGCGAUCUCGCGAGAGGGAGCUAAUCGGAGAAAACCGGUCUCAGUUCGGAUUGCAGGCUGCAACACGCCUGCAUGAAGUUGGAAUCGCUAGUAAUCGCGGAUCAGCACGCCGCGGUGAAUACGUUCCCGGGCCUUGUCACACCGAAUCACUA